UACGUAGGGACGAGCGUUGUCCGGAAUUACUGGGUCGUAAAGGGCGCGCAGGCUGUAGGAUCAAGUCAGCUGUGAAAUGUCUGGGCUUAAACCCGGGCAUGCGGUUGAAACUGAUGUACUGGAGUGCUGUAGAGGCAAGUGGAAUUCCCAGUGUAGCGGUGAAAUGCGUAGAUAUUGGGAAGAACACCGGUGGCGAAGGCGACUUGCUGGGCAGCAACUGACGCUGAGGCGCGAAAGCCAGGGGAGCAAACGGGAUUAGAUA
rnacentral:rRNA from 1 species